rnacentral:rRNA from 1 species
CCGGUGACGUAUCCUUCAAAUGUCUGACUUAUCAGCUGUGGAUGGUAGACUCUGUGUCUACCAUGGCGCUCACGGGUGACGGGGAAUCAGGGUUCGAUUCCGGAGAAGGAGCCUGAAAGCCGGCUACCACAUCCAAGGAAGGCAGCAGGCACGCAAAUUACCCACUCCCGGCACGGGGAGGUAGUGACAAAAAAUACCGAUACGGGACUCAUCCGAGGCCCCGUAAUCGGAAUGAGAACACUCUAAUCCUUUAGCGAUGAUCCAUUGGAGGGAAAGUCUGGUGCCAGCAGCCGCGGUAACUCCAGCUCCAAUAGCGUAUAUUAAAGUUGUUGCGGUUAAAAAGCUCGUAGUUGGUUCUGCGUGCCGCGCUGUCGGUUCACCGCCUGCCGGUGCAACUGGCAUGCCGCGGCAUGUCCUGUCGGUGGCGGAUAGGCUUCGGGCCGCCUCCUCAUGCGGUCCUCCGUGUGGGGUUGCGCGGCUCUGUUGUCCUUAUACGCCGGCUCAAUCCUACCGCGGUGCUCUUUACCGAGUGUCGAGGUAGGCCGACACUGUUUACUUUGAACAAAUUAGAGUGCUUCAUGCAGGCUCAAUAUACAGCCUGAAUAGUGGUGCAUGGAAUAAUGGAAAAGGACCUUGGUUCUAUUUUGUUGGUUUCCUGAAUCCAAGGUAAUGAUCAAUAAGGACAGGCGGGGGCAUUCAUAUUGCGGCGUUAGAGGUGAAAUUCUUGGAUCGUCGCAAGACGCACUAAAGCGAAAGCAUUUGCCAAGUAUGUCUUAAUUGAUC